rnacentral:lncRNA from 1 species
UCAGAUCAGGCUGGGCAGGCAGCAACCAAAGUUGGCAGAUUUAAAAGGGCCACUGAACAGGCUUUACUGAGAUAUCACUCCCAGGCGGAACUCAAUCAGACCCACAGAGGGGACAGGGGAAGGGUCUGAGGAGAAACCGAGUGGAAGCUGGACCGGACUGGACUUUUAUGGGGCUUACAGCAGGAAGGGAAGGGCUUGGGACAGGAAAAGGUGUCUCUAGGAUCCCUUGCCCCCUUGGAGUUGGUCAGGGGAGUUGGCUGAACUCCAGGAUUGGCCAGGGGGUCCUGUUGAUUGACAGGCGUUAGUCAGGAGAUCUGGCUGAUUGACAGGCAUUUCCACUGGCAUCUGAUUGAUGUUCAAAGCAGCGCGGGCUGCUUUGUUCUAAGUUGCCACUAAGUCGCCACCAAGUCGCUGCCACGGACCUAACAUAAGGUAUUGAAGGUUUUUCCUAAGGUCAAAUAUUAAUGUAAUGAUAUAAAAGAAAGUUUAAUCUACUUGUUAAAAUGACAAUGAUUUCUUAAAUUGUUAAUUUACCAAUAACAUUGUUUUUAUUAAGUUUUACUUUUUAGAACAAAUAAUCGUGAGGGAAUUUAGGAUUAUACAACUGUUAAACAACAACUGUUCCAAGGUUUAAAUUUUGUUUAAAAGCUAAACUUGGUUAAUAUAAAAACAUCAAUGGAAUUAUGGUGCUAUUUCUCUUCUUUGUAUAUUAAGUGUGUACAUAUCUUCCAGGUAUACAAGUCUUUAAGAUAGAGGGUAUAAAAGAACAUUAUAUCAAACUGGUGUUCUCCAAACUAAAGUUGUAUGGUAAUUUUAGAUUCAUAAGGAUAAAAAACUUGAAUUGGG